UAGUCCACGCCGUAAACGAUGUCUACUAGCCGUUGGAAGACUUGAUCUUUUAGUGGCGCAGUUAACGCAAUAAGUAGACCGCCUGGGGAGUACGGCCGCAAGGUUAAAACUCAAAUGAAUUGACGGGGCCCGCACAAGCGGUGGAGCAUGUGGUUUAAUUCGACGCAACGCGAAGAACCUUACCAGGUCUUGACAUCCUCGGAACUUUCUAGAGAUAGAUUGGUGCCUUCGGGAACCGAGAGACAGGUGCUGCAUGGCUGUCGUCAGCUCGUGUCGUGAGAUGUUGGGUUAAGUCCCGUAACGAGCGCAACCCUUGUCCUUAGUUGCCAUCAGGUUAUGCUGGGAACUCUAAGGAGACUGCCGGUGACAAACCGGGAGGAAGGUGGGGACGACGUCAAGUCAUCAUGGCCCUUACGACCUGGGGCUACACACGUGCUACAAUGGGCCAGUACAGAGGGGCUGCAAUCCCGCGAGGGGGAGC
rnacentral:rRNA from 1 species